CGGACGGGUGAGUAAUGUCUGGGAAACUGCCCGAUGGAGGGGGAUAACUACUGGAAACGGUAGCUAAUACCGCAUAAUGUCUACGGACCAAAGCGGGGGACCUCCGGGCCUCGCGCCAUCAGAUGAACCCAUAUGGGAUUAGCUAGUAGGUGAGGUAACGGCUCACCUAGGCGACGAUCCCUAGCUGGUCUGAGAGGAUGACCAGCCACACUGGAACUGAGACACGGUCCAG
rnacentral:rRNA from 1 species